CCCGGUAAAAUUAAUAAAUUAGAUCACAGGGCUUCAUCUACUGUCUGGAUGGGUUUGACUCCAAAACACUGAACAAGAUCGGGAUAAAACAUGAACAUUAAUCACCGAUAAUCUUUCAUUUGAAAGCUUCUCCUCGUCAUCUGCUCCACAUGCA